UACAGAGGGUGCGAACGUUGCUCGGAAUUACUGGGCGUAAAGCGCGUGUAGGCGGUCCGUUAAGUUGGUAGUGGAAUCCCAUGGCUCAACCAUGGAAGUGCUGCCAAAACUGGCGGGCUGGAGUGCCGGAGAGGGUGGCGGAAUUCCCAGUGUAGAGGUGAAAUUCGUAGAUAUUGGGAGGAACACCGGUGGCGAAGGCGGCCACCUGGACGGUAACUGACGCUAAGACGCGAAAGCGUGGGGAGCAAACAGG
rnacentral:rRNA from 1 species